rnacentral:tRNA from 1 species
GGCUCAGUGGUCUAGUGGUAAAGUGUUCGCCGCUGAGCCACAGGGUCCUGGGGUCGAUCCCCGAUGGGGUCG